ensembl:lncRNA
UAUGAAACAGCCAAUACAUGUAAAAGACAAAAACAUUUAUACAGAACAGAACAAAGUGUGGAACAUGGUGGAGAGUGCAGAUGCCUGUUAGCUCACACUGGACCCAAACGCUGCCUCUCUAUCCUUGGAUCAGUGAGUGGUGACAGGUGGGUUUCCUCACCUGAAUGACUAUCCUGAUCACCCAGAGAGAUUAGAGCACUGGGCACAGGUUCUGUGUAGAGAGGGUCUGUCUAGGCACUGUUACUGGGAGGUAGAGUGGAAUAGGAGAGAGGCUGAGCUAAGAGUGGAAUAUAAAGGAAUCCGCAGGAGAGGAAUGGAGGGUGACUCCCUGCUUGGGAGCAAUUCUACUCUGAGCUGGAAUUAUAAAUAUGAUAGUGUCACUGACUGCCAGGCACAAUAAAAACAAAACAGAAAUACCAGUUCCCUCCUCUGACUCCAGCAGAGGAGGUGUGUAUCUGAACUGGCCGGCCGACACUCUAUCCUUCUACAGCGCCACCUGCACACAUUCCAGACCAAAUUCACUCAAC